AACCCGUUCGGGGGUAAACGGACAGAGCCCGUGAAUCCGGGCGACGGAAUUCAGAAUCGACGGCGUUCGCGCGUCGUCGGUUCGAUAUUUCCGCCGCCGUCAAUUUUAACGGACGUCGCGACCCGUUCGGCGUCGGUCCGCAGGAGACGUGCGAAAGUUCGUGAGCGUCGGCUGGGUUUCGGCUCGGUCGGCGUUCGCGAGUGCGCGUUCAUUUUUCUGGCCGACUCGCCGGACGGUAGGCGAAGCGGUGGUCGCGGCGGCCUCGUUUACGAGCGCCGUCGCGUUACCGGUCUGCGACGAAUCUUCGGGCCUCUUUCCGA
rnacentral:rRNA from 1 species